AGAGUUUGAUCCUGGCUCAGGACGAACGCUGGCGGCGCGCCUAACACAUGCAAGUCGAACGAGCGAGAGAGAGCUUGCUUUCUCGAGCGAGUGGCGAACGGGUGAGUAACGCGUGAGGAACCUGCCUCAAAGAGGGGGACAACAGUUGGAAACGACUGCUAAUACCGCAUAAGCCCACAGGUCGGCAUCGACCAGAGGGAAAAGGAGCAAUCCGCUUUGAGAUGGCCUCGCGUCCGAUUAGCUAGUUGGUGAGGUAAUGGCCCACCAAGGCGACGAUCGGUAGCCGGACUGAGAGGUUGAACGGCCACAUUGGGACUGAGACACGGCCCAGACUCCUACGGGAGGCAGCAGUGGGGAAUAUUGCACAAUGGGGGAAACCCUGAUGCAGCGACGCCGCGUGGAGGAAGAAGGUCUUCGGAUUGUAAACUCCUGUUGUUGAGGAAGAUAAUGACGGUACUCAACAAGGAAGUGACGGCUAACUACGUGCCAGCAGCCGCGGUAAAACGUAGGUCACAAGCGUUGUCCGGAAUUACUGGGUGUAAAGGGAGCGCAGGCGGGAAGACAAGUUGGAAGUGAAAUCUAUGGGCUCAACCCAUAAACUGCUUUCAAAACUGUUUUUCUUGAGUAGUGCAGAGGUAGGCGGAAUUCCCGGUGUAGCGGUGGAAUGCGUAGAUAUCGGGAGGAACACCAGUGGCGAAGGCGGCCUACUGGGCACCAACUGACGCUGAGGCUCGAAAGUGUGGGUAGCAAACAGGAUUAGAUACCCUGGUAGUCCACACCGUAAACGAUGAUUACUAGGUGUUGGAGGAUUGACCCCUUCAGUGCCGCAGUUAACACAAUAAGUAUCCACCUGGGGAGUACGACCGCAAGGUUGAAACUCAAAGGAAUUGACGGGGGCCCGCACAAGCAGUGGAGUACGUGGUUUAAUUCGACGCAACGCGAAGAACCUUACCAAGUCUUGACAUCCCUUGACGAACAUAGAAAUAUGUUUUCUCUUCGGAGCAAGGAGACAGGUGGUGCAUGGUUGUCGUCAGCUCGUGUCGUGAGAUGUUGGGUUAAGUCCCGCAACGAGCGCAACCCUUACUGUCAGUUACUACGCAAGAGGACUCUGGCAGGACUGCCGUUGACAAAACGGAGGAAGGUGGGGAUGACGUCAAAUCAUCAUGCCCUUUAUGACUUGGGCUACACACGUACUACAAUGGCGUUAAACAAAGAGAAGCAAGACCGCGAGGUGGAGCAAAACUCAGAAACAACGUCCCAGUUCGGACUGCAGGCUGCAACUCGCCUGCACGAAGUCGGAAUUGCUAGUAAUCGUGGAUCAGCAUGCCACGGUGAAUACGUUCCCGGGCCUUGCACUCACCGCCCGUCA
rnacentral:rRNA from 1 species